CUGGUCUUGAACCAGAAGCAAAGAACAGGAGCCUCUUCUCUCUGGGGUGAGGGCUGUAAUCCCCUCCAGCUACAGGAUCAGUCUCUCCAUUAGUAAAACAAGUUCCCUGAUCUGGUUCACAGCACAGCCUGGCAAAAAGCUGGAAUUGGGAACAUUGAGGAGUGAUGCAGCAUGGCAUGAGGACAAAUAAGGCUGUGCAGGGAAGGAGCAGUUUCCUGCAGCAUUGGUAAAGGACAGCAGAGAGUGCACCGGAGGUUACAGGAAAGAAGAAUUGGGAAUUGGAAGCAGACAUCAAAGGGGGUACAGAGUUGACGUAAAUAGAAAAGAGACUUGAGAGGGGACAGUGAAAGUUGUUAGCGUUAGCUGGAGACAGGGGAGAACGAGGGCCAGAAGAUGUGUUGCAAUAGGCACUUGUGAGUGAGGUCUGAAUCACCGUUAUGGGGGGACAACAGGGACAGUUUGAAGUACAUCACCCAAGAAGAGAAUCUCAGUGACAUGGAUGAAACACCAGCUGGGGAAAGGGGGCAACAAAGGCUUCACUGAGCCAACAAAACAAAAGUGGGAAACCUGGAUCAGAAAGAACUCUUUCUUUGAAACAGAAAACAUUCAAAUAGUAUUCAGUUCAAAGGACUGGAAAUACAGGGAUAAAUAAAUUAAAAUGCUUUAAACAAUUAAAUUAAGAGUAUAUUUAUUUCCAAGGAUAAUAGGGAAAAAUCUGCCAAAAAAGGAGGAAGCCUUUUCCCUCAGUCACACUAUGGCAAGUACCACGUUCAUCAAAGAAAGGAAGGAGCAAUCCACCCCAGAAAGAGAAUAACAAAACUUCUCCCCAGUUCAAGAUACCAAGCAGUGAUUUGUUUUCUAAAAAUGUAUGCAUUUAUUAUAUUAAGCUUAACUGAUUUUUAGCAGUUCUCGAGACCAAAAACAAAAUGCACAAAUAAAUCUGUUAAAUCCUGCUGAAUCUGGUAAUGCAGUGUCCAGCACAAAAAGAAAUGUAUAGAAAAGCAAUAUUACACUGAAGAAAGAAAUUAUUCAGAUGAGAAGGUUGGGCAAAUUUGGGAAAGAAUAGCCACAGCUGAGUUUUAAGAGUAAUUGCUUAUUGCCAUAAGGUGUUUUCAAGUCAGUAAUUCUCUCUCUGCUUCCUCUCCAUCCAGCAUGGGCUCCCCCCUCAGAAAAAAGAUUUAGAACAGCCUGCUUUACUGUAGGAAAGGUGCUUGCUGUGCUAAUAGUUUUCUUUAAAGAACUUUAUUUUUAAUUAAAACAAAGAAAUGAAACACACUGGCUGUAAUAAUGAUGAGGGGGUAAACACUAAAAAAAAUUAAUUCACCAGUUCUCAACCUGGCUGGCAGUCAUGUAGUGAAAACCCAUAAUGACAAUGACAGCACCAGCAUAAAGAGUAAUUAGAGGAAUUCUAAACAUUUUGUCUUAAGAAGGGUUAAUAAGUUUAAAGCACCAUGGUCUUACAUGCAACUGCUCUGAAAUAUUUUUGACACGGGAAGAGAUGAAUGGACACCUGCAAUGUUUGAUCUUGACGCUCUGACAAGUUAUGAAUUGUUUCAGUAAGUGAAGAGUAAUGAGCGAAGUAACUUUCAAACAUGAAAAGAAGUUAUCUGAAUGACCAAGGCUAUGCCUUAUAUAGAUGGUGUGGCAUGGUGAACAUCUCUAACAGAAAUUAAAUGUAAGUAACAGCUUCAUUGCUUAUUUUGUUGGGAAAUAUAAUCUCAUUUUAGAUUUUUUUUAAUUGAAUGUCUAAAUAGUUUUGUGGAAGAGUAGGCUUGUGUAAACCUGUAAGUUGCAUCCUGCUUUCAUCCAAAACCUGUCAUAGUAAAAUGAGGCAGAUGAGUCUCAUGUGACUUAUCUAAAUGUUUUCAUUUAUCACCUUUAGCCUUAGAGCUUUGUUCUAAUCCAGGAGAGAGACAUGCAUCUAAAAACAACCAGCCCUCAAAUCCAGCCUGACUUAAAACCAACAGCAAAACAAAGCAGCACAGAUAUUUCUGUACCCAGACUGCUGUGCUCAGAAAGAGCUUCAUAAGGAAAGCUCAGGGUGGAUACAUCUCACUGUCUCCUCCUUCUCUUCACCAGUUUUCUUGGCUAUUUCUGAAUCAAAGCAUCAUUAGUGUAAUAUACAUACCAGCUGUAAAGCUUUUAUUUCUGGAGUGAAAAACCAAUAUAAGAACUAGAGACAGAAAAAACAACAAAAAAUGGUUGGUUGUUCCACUUGGACUCUCCAAGGAUUUAGAGUUUAGGAGAAAAAAAUCAUCAUUGUAUUUUAUUUUUAAUCAGAGAUUCACUGGGUCUGAAUUAAGUACAUUUUGAUACCAGCAUUCCACUCUGAUUUUUGAAUGUCUAGAGUUGUUUGGGGU